GUGAUGACAAAGUUCAGCCCGCUCUUGCAUUUUUCUUGCAUUGAGAACACAUCCAGAAUAAAGACUGCUCCUUCAGCCAGGGUCCCAGGUAAUAUGAACAGAUCCACAGUUCACUUUCAGCUGGGCACAGAGCUGUCGUCAACUUCUGGCCCUCACAAAAUGUGAAUGAAAAAGAUGUUUUACUUUGUAGUUGCUGUUAUUUGGAGAGAGUUGUUACUCCAGCCAUCACUGACCAUCCCUGAAGAUAUGAGCAGUAUGGACCUUGCAAGGUUGAUAUUCAGAUCUAAUGACAUAAUGCCUGAAAGGCGGGUAGCAUAGCACCUGACAUACAGUCACUGCUCAGAAACUGUAAGCUGGCAUGACAGAUCUGUUUCUCCAGGUUCAUCCACACCUAUGUCAAGCACACUGACCUGCCCUGUUGCAGAUGUUCAGCUUGAGCCCCUAACACACUGAUACCAAUUUACCAUAGACCAGUCCCCGCACUCAACACUCCGUGUAAUCGCUUCUUUCUGCCACUGUCGCUGGUCUCUAUUGCUGUCUGCUUCCGGGUUGUCUGUGUCUUAUGCCGCUGAGCCCGUCUGCAGAGUGGCCGCUCUCCUCUGCAGAGCACACGGGUGAAGGCACUCACGCACUCAUGACCUCUGCCUGCUUGGUGUCCAGUUUCUCAGCUGCCUCCACCUGGCACCGCAUUACUGCCUCGCUCCAGACUUCCAGGUCUCAUGACUCUCCAUCAGAAGAAAUGCUGGCUCUUUCAGGCUGUGCUAUUAUGUGUGUGUGUGCUGAGGCAGGGUUGGGGCAGGGUGGGUCAUGGAAACUUCUUGCAAAGGUACUAGGGUUCCUAGCAAUUUUGUGUUUUUAGUUUUAUUAUGGCCAGGGUCCAGGGGUGCCCCCAGGUGACUUGGGUCACCUGAGUUUUAGUAGAGCUUUCAUUGUUCCAGAAGUAUGGUCCUUACCAAACAAUCUCAUUGUGACUAAGCUAAGCUGAACAACCUCUACCAGACUUCCUCACUCGGUGUGUUUCUCUUAAAGCUCUGCUCUCCUUCUCUACAAUCUUGUAUCUGCUGGAAUCAGCUCUCCUCAAGUUUCCCAAGUAUGUUUGCACCUGAACUCAGCAUUCUAAACAGGACUAUGCAGAAUUGGAUUACAUUUCAUCUCCCUCAACCAUCCAUCUUCCCUUCCCUGCUCAUUUGCUGGGGCUGCAGAAGUAUUGAGUGCUCCAGGACAGACUUGGUUUUCCAAACCAUGCAAGUCAUUAUGAAUGGCCUUGUGUCCAGUGCGAUGGGGAUCCCUGUCAGCAUCAAGCUGCCCCUAAUGUGAUCAAGUUAAAGAAAGAAGCAGAGGAGAUUCUCAUUAAAUAGGAAUAACAGUGAUGGUACUGUGGUUGUGAUUAGCUCUGCUCAGGGUUGGAGUUAAUAUUGCUUCUCCCCUGCAGUAUUUUUUAAUUACACUUCUGAUUUUCUAUUUGGAGACAUCAUAGACCUGUGCUGGUGAAUUGUCACACAACCACAAGUCAAAUAUGUGUUAAAUAUGA